UACGUAGGUGGCAAGCGUUGUCCGGAUUUACUGGGCGUAAAGAGCGCGCAGGCGGUCGGAUAAGUCGAAUGUGAAAGCCCCCUGGCUCAACCAGGGAGGGUCAUUCGAUACUGUUCGACUCGAAGGCAGGAGAGGGAAGUGGAAUUCCGGGUGUAGUGGUGAAAUGCGUAGAUAUCCGGAGGAACACCAGUGGCGAAGGCGACUUUCUGGCCUGUUCUUGACGCUGAGGCGCGAAAGCGUGGGGAGCAAACAGGG
rnacentral:rRNA from 1 species